UACGUAGGCAGCGAGCGUUGUUCGGAAUUACUGGGCUUAAAGAGUUCGUAGGCGGCGCAGAAAGUAGGGUGUGAAAGCCCUCGGCUUAACCGAGGAAUUGCGCUCUAAACUACUGUGCUUGAGGAAUCUAGAGGUGAGCGGAACUGAUGGUGGAGCGGUGAAAUGCGUUGAUAUCAUCAGGAACACCGGAGGCGAAGGCGGCUCACUGGGGAUUUUCUGACGCUGAGGAACGAAAGCCAGGGGAGCGAACGGG
rnacentral:rRNA from 1 species